UACGGAGGGGCUAGCGUUGUUCGGAAUUACUGGGCGUAAAGCGCACGUAGGCGGACUGGAAAGUCAGAGGUGAAAUCCCAGGGCUCAACCUUGGAACUGCCUUUGAAACUCCCGGUCUUGAGGUCGAGAGAGGUGAGUGGAAUUCCGAGUGUAGAGGUGAAAUUCGUAGAUAUUCGGAGGAACACCAGUGGCGAAGGCGGCUCACUGGCUCGAUACUGACGCUGAGGUGCGAAAGCGUGGGGAGCAAACAGG
rnacentral:rRNA from 1 species